GAUGAACGCUGGCGGCGUGCCUAAUACAUGCAAGUCGAGCGAACGGACGAGAAGCUUGCUUCUCUGAUGUUAGCGGCGGACGGGUGAGUAACACGUGGAUAACCUACCUAUAAGACUGGGAUAACUUCGGGAAACCGGAGCUAAUACCGGAUAAUAUUUUGAACCGCAUGGUUCAAAAGUGAAAGACGGUCUUGCUGUCACUUAUAGAUGGAUCCGCGCUGCAUUAGCUAGUUGGUAAGGUAACGGCUUACCAAGGCAACGAUGCAUAGCCGACCUGAGAGGGUGAUCGGCCACACUGGAACUGAGACACGGUCCAGACUCCUACGGGAGGCAGCAGUAGGGAAUCUUCCGCAAUGGGCGAAAGCCUGACGGAGCAACGCCGCGUGAGUGAUGAAGGUCUUCGGAUCGUAAAACUCUGUUAUUAGGGAAGAACAUAUGUGUAAGUAACUGUGCACAUCUUGACGGUACCUAAUCAGAAAGCCACGGCUAACUACGUGCCAGCAGCCGCGGUAAUACGUAGGUGGCAAGCGUUAUCCGGAAUUAUUGGGCGUAAAGCGCGCGUAGGCGGUUUUUUAAGUCUGAUGUGAAAGCCCACGGCUCAACCGUGGAGGGUCAUUGGAAACUGGAAAACUUGAGUGCAGAAGAGGAGAGUGGAAUUCCAUGUGUAGCGGUGAAAUGCGCAGAGAUAUGGAGGAACACCAGUGGCGAAGGCGACUUUCUGGUCUGUAACUGACGCUGAUGUGCGAAAGCGUGGGGAUCAAACAGGAUUAGAUACCCUGGUAGUCCACGCCGUAAACGAUGGGUGCUAAGUGUUAGGGGGUUUCCGCCCCUUAGUGCUGCAGCUAACGCAUUAAGCACUCCGCCUGGGGAGUACGACCGCAAGGUUGAAGCUCAAAGGAAUUGACGGGGACCCGCACAAGCGGUGGAGCAUGUGGCUUAAUUCGAAGCAACGCGAAGAACCUUACCAAAUCUUGACAUCCUUUGACAACUCUAGAGAUAGAGCCUUCCCCUUCGGGGGACAAAGUGACAGGUGGUGCAUGGUUGUCGUCAGCUCGUGUCGUGAGAUGUUGGGUUAAGUCCCGCAACGAGCGCAACCCUUAAGCUUAGUUGCCAUCAUUAAGUUGGGCACUCUAAGUUGACUGCCGGUGACAAACCGGAGGAAGGUGGGGAUGACGUCAAAUCAUCAUGCCCCUUAUGAUUUGGGCUACACACGUGCUACAAUGGACAAUACAAAGGGCAGCGAAACCGCGAGGUCAAGCAAAUCCCAUAAAGUUGUUCUCAGUUCGGAUUGUAGUCUGCAACUCGACUACAUGAAGCUGGAAUCGCUGGUAAUCGUAGAUCAGCAUGCUACGGUGAAUACGUUCCCGGGUCU
rnacentral:rRNA from 1 species